rnacentral:rRNA from 1 species
AACGAACGCUGGCGGCAGGCUUAACACAUGCAAGUCGAGCGCGUAGCAAUACGAGCGGCAGACGGGUGAGUAACGCGUGGGAAUCUACCCAUCUCUACGGAAUAACACAGAGAAAUUUGUGCUAAUACCGUAUACGUCCUUAGGGAGAAAGAUUUAUCGGAGAUGGAUGAGCCCGCGUUGGAUUAGCUAGUUGGUAGGGUAAAGGCCUACCAAGGCGACGAUCCAUAGCUGGUCUGAGAGGAUGAUCAGCCACACUGGGACUGAGACACGGCCCAGACUCCUACGGGAGGCAGCAGUGGGGAAUAUUGGACAAUGGGGGCAACCCUGAUCCAGCCAUGCCGCGUGAGUGAUGAAGGCCCUAGGGUUGUAAAGCUCUUUCACCGGUGAAGAUAAUGACGGUAACCGGAGAAGAAGCCCCGGCUAACUUCGUGCCAGCCGCCGCCGUAACAC